UGUAUCUAUAUAGAAUGAAGGUAACUUAGAUAUAACUAUAUUUUUGCCAGACUCAAUUCAUGCUUGACCGUCUUGCUGAUCUUCAGAAUCGGGAGAGAGCGCUUGUUGAUGUUAAUACAGCUCUAAGAACUAAGUUAGAAGAAAUUCAGAAUUCAGAAGUU